UGUUCCAGUGGGAUGUCAAAAUACAUGUCUCUGGAUGCUUGAAGGAUUGGGGAAGAAACAGGAAUAAAACAUUAAAUAUAAUUUACUAUUAAAUCAGGCAAUCAUUAGUUACUAGACUUUGUCAACACAAUUUUGUACCUUUUCAGUUAUAUAUGUCUAACCUGUGGGUUGAAUGUGGAGAUGAAACACAGAAAGCAGGGAACCUACAUUAGUGCACAUGACACUAUUUUAGUCUGGACCCAGGAUUUAAUAUCUGCUCUCCUAACUUCCUACUCAGGUUCAUACUUAGGGGGAGAGUUACAAAAUUACCAAUAUGUUGACUGCAAAUAUUUUUCAAACAGAAUUUGGCCUGGAAAAUAGAAAUUUAUUGACUUAUUUUAAUUCCAUAAAAUCUCCUCCCUGAAAUAUAAGACAUCAGAAAAAUAUAUAACUUUAAAAAAUGAAAACAAUCUUCUUAGAUGAAAUAGAUGAUAGAUAGAUAGGUGAUUAUACAGAGAUGAGAAAGAAAUGGAGUACGUGUGAACACAAUUCAAUAGCCCCUUUAGUGAAAAAAAUUUCCACAGGUUGCCACUGUAAUACAGCAUAUCAAUAUUCUUUCCUGAUGAAACAAGCUGGGGAUACAGAGUUAAGCCUCUAUUAGGAAACAGAGAGGCUCAACAGAUCCAUUAUGGAUUUUAUUUUCCAGCUUGAUUAUCCUGAGCUCUUGGGAGUGCUACCAUGACCAGCGCUGCAUGAAUGAAGUUCUUGUCCUUCCCUUUUAACAAUCUGGACACAUUCUGACUUCUAGAUUGUUUCAUAGACUAUUUUACAGUCCCACUUUGCAUUUUAAAUGGAAAAAUCCCUGGGUAAUUAUGCAUCUCUCUCCUUAAGACAUGUGAAUAACCACUUCAAGGACUUUGUUCUCUCUAACUUUUAGUGGGAUGGAAACUAUGUCCUUAUUUUCUUUUGAAAAGAUGCCAGCAUAUUGAGCAGGAUGGAAACAACAAACAUACUGGAUUUAACAAUACAGUAAGAACAUGAGGCCAACCGGGAACCAUGUGAGAGAGCUUAAGGCAGAUUCUCUGAAGCCACACCAGGAUUCCUGACCACAAAGUCUCUGACAUGAGAAAUGCUGUUGAUGAACCUCAGGGUGAUUUCAUCCCAUUCCUCAGGCAACAGCAUCAGCAGAAACCCAAUGCAGAUGAUGAUGGUAGCAGCCAGGCGGACAACAUUGAAUAUCACCUCCUGCUUUAGGAGAUCCACAGCUAGGAAAGAAAAAUCAAGUCAGUCAUUUCCUAUGCCUGUUUCUAAGCUUUGAAAACAAGUCACCAAAGUCCAUGUUACUUCUAGAGAUUUCCAAGAGUCUUCUUUAUUCUUCCAAGUUAGUGUUUCCUUUUUCCACAUUGCUAGGUUUGCUUUCCACUGCCUGUCUCUAAGUCAUGCUUAUCCUUCAAGGCUUAGCUUAAAUUCCAUGUAAUCUGACUUAGUUAUCUCCCCAGUUUUCUCUCAGUACUUUUCCUCUUUACCCCUUUAACCUUCUCCAGUUUCAUUGGACCAUUGGAGAUUUUUCAAAUGAGCCAAACAUGUUAGUGUCUAACACUUGUGCAGGCUGUUCUUUUUAAAAAUUUAAUUGAGGUGAAAUUCAUGUAAUAUAAAAUUAACCAUUUUAAAGUGGACUUAGUGGCACUUAGUAUAUUCACAAUAUUAUGCAGCCACCACCUCUCUCUGGUCCCCAGAUAUCUCCAUCACUUCAAAAUAAAAGCCCAUACCCAUUAACUCCUCAGCUUCUUAUCCCAAAUCCCCAGCCCUUAGCAACCACCAAUCUGCUUUUUUCCCCCUAUAGAUUUGCCUAUUCUAGUUAUUUUAUAUAAAUGGAGUCACAUUCUCUGUGUUCUUUCGUGACUGGCUUCUUAGCAAAAUAUUUUUGAGGUCCAUCCAUGUUGUAGCACGUGUCAGCACCUCAUUCCUUCUUAUGGCUGAAUAAUAUUUCACUGCAUCAUAAUUUGGUUAUUCAUUCAACUCCUGAUUCACAUUUAGGCUUCUCUACCUUUUUGCUAUUGUGAAUAGGGCUACUAUAAACAUUUGCGUAUGAGGAUAUUUUUAAUCUCUGUUUUCACUUUUUUGGGGUAUACACUCAGGAGUGGAGUUGUUGGUCACACAUGUACUGUUCUUUUUAGCAUGAGCUACCCUUCACUCCUCAUAUCUCACUUCAUCCAGCUAAACCUCUCCUUAGAUCUCUCCCCUUAGGCUUCUUGCAGGAAGCCUUUUGGAUGCUCCUCCUAUGCGCCCUCGCAGCAUUCAGCACAUACCUCUAUUAAAGCAAUUCUAUGUUGUAAUUACUCAAUUUUUUUUCCUUUUGUCUCCCUCUCAAUGCUACAUGGUCCUGAGGGCAGGGACUGUGCCUUAUUCAGGACCUGUCACUAGUGUUAGGACAGUUCCUGGUGUACACUAAUUGCUCAGAAAUUCUUUGUUGGAUGAAUGAACGAAACUCCUUGACAACUCCACUCUGAUAUUUCUUUUCUCUGAAUAUCUUACAGCCACUGGAGUCUGUCUCACACAAUUUGGCAUUUAAUAUUAAAUUAUUCUGUAGAGUUCCAAGUUGUUUCAUGUAGGUUGGCCUUCUUUUACAAAUUCAGCCAUAAGCAUUUUAAGAGAAUAAUAAUGUAUUUUUUUCUUUUUUGCUGCCCUGAUCACAUGAUAAAUAUUCAAUAAACAUUUGCUGAUUGUCGUGGAGGACAGAAAAGUGGCUACUCAAGACUUGAAAUUAUAAAAUUUUAAAGUUAAAAGGACUGUACAAUCAUCCAGAUAAUCCAUUUGCAUUACUUGUUUCACUGGCAGGUUUCUCUAGAAAUAUCCUGGAAAAAUAGCUUCUCUUGUCCCUGAGAGACAGCCCCAUGGCAGAGCAGCAAAAGAGGACCAGUGCUCCACCUUGGUGAAAUACAAGAUGACUGGGGUGAAGGAGAUGAAGAUCAAAUUGAAGAAACCCAAGGUGGAGACAAAGUGUGCAGCUUCCCCAAAGUUGGCACUUCCAAGAAACAUUUUAAACAAGACCUGGAAUGAGAAAGAAACUCUACAGCCACACAGAAACUUAGCCAGAGCAGAAACGUAAGUCUUACUGUUCCAUACUGUGAGCUAACUGGCCCAGAGUUUAUUCUCCAUUUCUUCUUGCCCUGACAUCUUCACAGCACUAGAUGGGCUGUUGAGAUAAGGAAUUAAAAUACUCCAUAGCCUUCAUAUGAAAUAGCAAAUGUCAUAAAAUGAAUUUCUUAUGGUGCUGAAAACUGCUGGGUAGUGUACAUUGUGUUUAGUGCCACCAUCAGUGAUGGGUAUUGGGUGAAUGAUAAAUAAGAGUCCAGACAAGCCCAGAAAAAUCUUCUAGGAUUGACUGGCCAUUAAUCCUUAACUUAAAGCAUGGGAUUUGUUUUAUCCUUAUUUUGAUAGAUACUGAAAACUAAAUUGGACAGAGAGACCCUGUCAUUAUGUUGUUGAGAGAAAUAGUAUUUUUGCCUUGGAUUUAUAAGCAGUUUUCUUUGUGAGCUCAAAAUGACUUCACAAAUAUGGUGCUUGUUCCCCAGAUUAAAAAGCAGUUUUUAUAUAUUAUAAACCUGUGUGCAGAGGAAGAUGGCAAGGAGAAGCAAAUGGCUAACAUAAAAUCACACAACAGAUUACAGAGAAAGCCAGGGGUAUAGUCCAUAUUUCUUAGCUUCUUAAGCCCACCACUCCCUAUACUAAUCCUGUAACAACACAGAGUGAAGCAGAUCUCUUCUGCCUGGAAUUAUAUUAUGCUGCAGAUAUGAUUUGGUGCAUGUCAGAAUGAAUACAUUCUGUAACCUGGUCAGGGGAAAUCCCUCUGUAAGAGUGCCAUUCUGGUCAUAUAGCAAUCCCAGGUACUGCUUCUAAUUUCAACUGAACUAAUUUUUUUUUUCUGUUGAAAGACUUAAUCAAAAGAAUUUGAGCACGUGGUAGUCUUUGGUCACAUCAGACAUCUUGGUGGAUCUCAGUUGGGGAGCAAGUUAGACAGUAAUGGCCAUUGAGUGAACAUUUGUCAAGCUUGUCACACAGAAUCAAUGGGCCAAGAAAUGUCAAUAUGGAAAUAGACUUCAUGCCCUCUGAGACACAGUGUUGGUUAAUAAUCAGAACAGGCUUCCAGGAGGGACGAAAAGGGUAUUUUCGGCCUUUCAGAGUGUGUUUUCUCAUUGAAACACCAAGAGAGGUGAAAUUGGAACAGUUCUUUAAUACAUCCAGAAAGUUGACUUUAAAAGUAGAGCUUUGGGGAAUAACUUUUUAGAUCUGCUCUCUUAGUGCUCACUUCUGAAGUCAGGUGCAAUGACUCCGAAUAGAAUUUUCUUUGAUGACAGGGAACUCCAGUGGAGAAAAAAAUGGUGGGUACCUACAGCAGACGUAGAGCAUCCAUCAGAGAGAAAAAGAGCUUCUUCAUUUUGCUAGUAACACGAGCUCCUGUGGCAUGGGGUUAAUAUGUGCCAAACAGCUCUCUAGUGACAGCUUAUUUCUAACACCUCUUUUGAGUUAAAAUAAUGACCAUAGAUAAUUAAAUUAAAAAACACAGGGAGAGAAGAUGCCUUUCUAAUGUUCCUGCUAUAACUGCCUGAUAAAUGAGGGAUUAGGGCAUAGCACAUGGGCUUAGAAGUUGGCUAGUCCAGAGUUUAAGUCUUGGCUCUAUCACUAUUUGGCUCUAUGAUUUGGGGCAAGUUAUGUAAUCUUUCAAAGCCUCAGUUUCCUCAUCUGGAAAGUGGAAAUAAGUAUUUAUGCCUCAUAAGGUUGUAUUAACACAGGCAAAAAUUUUCAGGCAGGUACCCAUCACAUAACAAGUAGUUAAUUUACUUACUAUUAUUUCAACACAUCUAUUUUCUUUCUAAUCAAUGAUUACAUCGUACUUUCUUACUUUAGUACUCAAGUCUAAGUUAUGAGUGACAGUUGCUUACAAAAGAAAGUGCACAACAUACCUUAUAUAAUGCAGAUGUAGAGGCUGAGCCCACCGCAAAUGCCACUCCUAUGAUGGAAUCAGCGUGGAAAUUAUCUGCAUAUGCCAUCAUGACAAUGCCGGUAAUUGCCAUUAUUGCAGCAACUAUCUGUCAAAUAGGAUGCAAAGAAACAGAAAAGCAAUGAUCCCUCUGUAUCCUAGAGCAGGCAAUUCAAGACUUCCUGAAAGCUGCUAAGUACUUCCUUAAACCUAAUUACCUUUUGUACAUCACUUUAAAUGUAGGAAGGCUCAGUAUUAGAAAUAAAUCAAUAUGUUCAUGAGAUAUCCAGGCACAGAAUAUAAAAGCUGUUCACAUUCUAAUUAAAGACUAGUAAUUUUAUUAUUUUUAAUAUAUUUUUACUUUUUUAGGCCUAAUAAUUUUAAUUUUUUAGCUCAAGCUUUCUAGGGACUAACAUUUGUACUGGUGAAAUAAAUUUAAUAGGAAGUCACUUCUAAGCGUUUUCAUCUCUUCUGUAUUUCAUCUAUUCUUUUUCCUCCAAUUCAGCAUACAUUUUAAUCAGCUCCUUGGCUCAAGGUAUGUUUCUGAAGAUCUCCAUCUAAUCAGGACCUGAUUAGAGAAGCAUGAUAUUGAUACAGCUAAGAGGCAAACUUCAGGCCAAUGGGAAAAAAGAAAGAAAAUAAAUUCUCAUAGAGAUGUAUAAAGGAGCAAGCUGAGUCUGCACUGUCACUUGGAAUGUCAAAUGGAAGCCAGUACUUCCUUUUGUUCACAUGAAAAUUAAUUCAGUUUUUCAGAAAAACCACUGAAAGAUAAUUUCAUUUAAUUACUCUAGAGCAUUAACUGCAUAAAGUGAAAUAUUCAUAAUUCAACUGAAGUCAUCAUUGUUCACUGUAAAUUGAUGAUUCUAGCUAUAUUCAAAACAGGAGUCUACUCCCUUAGUGAAUUGCUGCUUUGUGUCAUCUCUUUAUCUUGAACUAGUUCUACUGGAAAGCAGUUCAGAGCUAUAGCAAACAGUAAAAUGAUGCUGGAACAGGUGACAAUAUGUCAUUUCCUUGUGAAAUGGUUUCACUGACUUUAAAAUCCAGAUGAAAAUUGGUGAGAAAUUUAAACCUACAUGGUGAUUAAUUUUGUUAAGCUUCAGUUCUGAGUAUUCCCAAGUAAAGAAAUUCUUCAGUUCUGAGUAUUCCCAGUAAAGAAAUUCCCAAGUAAAGAUAGCUUUUUAACAUAUGUGAUUUUCGGGGGCCCUUUUGAACACUAUUAGUGAAUUGUUUUUUAUAACGUAGAUUUUUAACAUGUAAUUACUGACUCGCUUGAGGCCACUGCAAAGUAUGUUCCCAAUUACAUAGAAUUCAGACGCUGCUAAAGCAUGUCUUUUGUUAGUGGCCACCAAAAGCAAGGGCCCACUUGGUUUCAGAGUAGCUCCAUAUUAAAGUGUCCUUAAUGAAAAACAGCAGGAGUACUUGAGAAUAGACAUAGACAUGUCAGCAGUGAAAAACCAUCUUCAUUAAACAUUAUCCAGGAGGCUGCUUGAUGGGAGGUGGUUUUCUUGCUGAGUGAAUAUCAUAUUCUCUGAAGCUGCCGGGUGUGUGUUCUGGUUAGACUUGGCCUUAAACUAUAAGGAAUAGAAUUUAAGAAUUUAGGUGUCAAGGAGAUUUCUAAAUAAUAAGUAAUAGACUCAUCAAUAAACACAGUGAGGGGGUUAUCUAGACCUGGAUAAAGGUCUAGACUCAUCAAUACACACAGUGAGGGGGUUAUCUAGACCUGGAAAUUCUAUGAGGGUUAUCAUUUUCCUUGAUUUGGGGAUUUGCAACAGUUCUUUGGGGGAUCUGAUUUCAGGGAAAUAAAAAAGGCACAUUAGAUAUUGGCAUAUCCUGAUUUGGUUUUGUGUUUAAAUGAUGUUCACUGGUUAGUGUUCAUGUGCACAAAUAGAUUUCCUUCAUAAGACUGAACUGACGGGAUAAUACAUUUGAGUUAACGUUUGUUUUCUUUUAGCUAAGCAUUGCAUUUUCUAGGUCAAAUAAACAAGCGGUUACUUGAAGCCAAGGCUAACAAAACUGUAAAUCCUAACGAACUUUCACAUGAUGUGCUAUUUUAUAUUUUAAAUUAUUAAAAGCAUUCUAUAAUACAUAAUACAUGGGUUUAGGCAAUUACACACUGUAGUAUGUAAUUCUGGGUUUAGAAAAUUGUGAAAACCAAUUAAAAAACCCCAAAGCACAAAACAAAAUCCUGUCUAGAAAAGGACAGGCAGUUGGUUUCAUUAUCCCCAAGAUAUGACCACAGGUAGGAACUCUUCCUUUUCUGAGUUAGCUACUAGUAAAAAUAGAUAUGCAUAAAGUUUCUAUUAUGUUUCCUCAAGAUAGGAAUUGAACAUGGGUAAAGAUUACAUAACUCUGUAGCAAUUCAAAAUUAUAACCAUAGUGAGCCUCUUAAAGAUCUUCAUUACUCGUUAUAUUCAAGUGCUUGUGAAAAUAUUAGCCUGGACCACUUAAAUUGACAUGUCAAUUACAGCAGUGUCUCUUUCAAUUGCCUUCACAGAGAGAAGCAUUUUUCACUUUAGGGGGUCAGACAAUGCUGUUAAGUUCUGAAAGAAUGAAAAUCUGAAUAUUUGAAAUGUUAGAAAAAUUCUCCAUGACAUGAGCAGUAAUUCAUAAGUUAUAUAGUAUGUUCCUGGGGCAGGGUGCGGGUGGAGGGUAUAGUGGGAAUAGAUAAAUUAUUUGCCACAUUUUAGUUUAAAUUUCAAAAAUAUCUGAUAGGUCAAAUUCUCUAUGGCUAUAUUUUAAGAAAUUUUAAAUAUAUUUCUUAUCUAUACUGUUGUAAGUGAAGGAAGAGAUCUCAACUAAUCUUGAAAAUGAGGAAAAAUUGUGGAGUGGUUGUUUGGGUGAUCUCAGAAUGGCUCUGCUUGGCACCACUGGUUUAACUUUAGAGAGUAAAUACUCUUUAGAUGUCUGGAGAACAAAUAUCCUAAGCACGUAUCAGUCACACACAUUUUCAGAAUCAAUCAGUCAUCAAAGAGGGAUUAAUACUCUGUUCUUCUCAACAGAAAAACACAAAACGACUCUUCUUGGCCUCAGCUUUCUGGAAAUGUGUCUGCAGGAAGCCAGUGCCUAAAAUAUUGUGUCAAAAAUGCUCAUAUGUGUUCAUUCACAUGAAGACAACCACUAAAGUGCUCCUGGGACACAUUAACAUCCAUGAGAGGAAUUCUUCUGCUGAAAAUACACCAUCUAGUGGUGCCACCUGCUCGGCUUCUGAAAAAUCUGUCUCUUGACAAUCUAUUCCAGUUCCAGCCUCUUAACCAACCAGAAGUGUCUAAAUAAGAUGGAAAACUAGGCCAGGCACAGUGGCUCACGCCUGUAAUUCCAGCACUUUGGGAGGCCCAGCUAGGUGAGUAUGAAGCAGCUGGUUCACAAAUGAACCCUUGAAUUCCAAAGCCUACAGCAGCCCCUAAAAAUGCAGAUCUCAGACCACACUGCUGGCAGCUGCUGUGCUCAAGUUGAAGACUAAAGGUCAGUAGUUGAGGUUGGGACACACAUUAAUAGUUUGACGAAUGAGAAACAUGCUAAUGAUUAUCUCUCUGGGUAAAUUUAGAUACAGUUGAUUUUCAAGGAACUAUGGCUAUACAGAAUCCUUAAACUUCUGCAUAUGUUAUAUUUAAGGUUCUAUGGAAAACUUUCUUUUUUACUCAGAUUCAAUUAAACUGAACAAGUGCUGAAAUGUGAAAAAUAAGAGGUGUGGCAAUCUAUAGCUGUCCAGAUGCUGUGUGUGACAGGGGGAAGGGGGGUACCUUGGAUAGCAGCAAACCCAAGGGAUGCUGGGCCUCUGAACUCCCCCUCUCCCUACAUGCAUGGAUUUUUAUCUGAAUAAAAUCCAUUUGAAAAUGAUCUCAGAGGGAGACCUGGAUGUCAAAGUUGUAAAGAAAUCCCACGAAGAAAGAGUGAAGGAUAUAUGUGGAGGGUAGACACAUUGACUGCACCAUGUUGAAGGGGUUACAGAUUCCUUGAGGGUGUAAAAUCGGACAGCCAGCACAACCCAGCUGUCUCCUCUCUUGGCUAUAUUCAUAAGUCAUUGUCCUGCCAAGAUAGGGGUAAGAGGGAGGAUGACUCCCACUGUCCAUCCUCCACUGCCUCUUCCAGGAAGCAUGGAAGCUCUGGGCAGAGAAUUCUGCAUUGCACAUGAAUAAAGAGGAGCCAAAGGCAAGAUGGAAACAAAUUGUCAAGUUACGUGUCAUCUUAAUUCUUAAUAUUUAAUAUCAGCAUAAAUCAGUAGCAGCUCAGCUCCAAUGUACUGUUUUAGCCUUCAGGGGCCCAAUUUGAAUUCAAAGAAGUAUAUGCUAUACCAUGAAAGAUUCAGUUUAACUGAUGUACUUCAGUCAGUUUUUGGUAGAUCCUGGAAAGUCUUUGAAAACAGCUAUAGUUUGGGAAGCUAACUAACUGCACAGGGACCCAAAUAUAGCUGGAAAAUAUGUGGCUCCCAAGCCAGAGGGACACUAAUGCAUUUCACAGUCUGCUAAGACAGUUGGGAUCUGCUGAACCAUCCACCAACCACCAACAUUCUCCAUAUCUUCAAGGAAAUUGGAAAAUAUAAGAAAAAUUUGAAUGAAUAGUAUAAAAAAAUAAGAGAGGGACAAAAUCUGAAAGAAAGUUUCUACCAUUCUAGUCUGGCAUCUACUUUUCAUUGGUGUAAAACAGAUACCAACAGCAGAGAAGAAAGCUCCCAGCCAGUGGCACAUUCCCCUUGGGAAGAACCUUUUUUUAAAAAAAAAAAAAUUAAGGUGGGUUCUCUGGUUCUUACGAAUUUAAGAACUCUAGCUAAACAUAAUAAGGUCUGAGAGACAGGAGAACACCUAUUUUCAAGGCUGCAAGAGCUGGAUUAUCACUUUCUAACAUUUUUGCAAUCAAAAAAUUAUCUUUUAAAGAAGUUUACUAAUUUUCAUGGGAUGAUCACAGAUUAGCUGCAAGCAAUUUGCUCAUGAAAGGGCUUUUUAUAACACAUCAUAGAUUACCAAUAAAUGGGCUGAAAUGACUUCAUACUAAAUGUAAAACAGAUUACCUUUCCAUCUGUAAUUCAGUGUUCAAAAGAAACAAAAUAUUAGCAAGUUAUUCAUAAUACAUAAUUCAUUUUUAUGUGAGCAUUAGUAAUUCUGGCCUACUUGUGGUCCGGAUAAACCCAUAUUUAUGAUGUUGUAACUUAAAGUGUCUUUCACUCUGUUCAUGGUGUUCUUUUUACAUUAAAAAAAAAAAUUAGAAGUAGGGAAGGCCAUAGCUUCUCAUUUUAAAUGUGCUCAUUCCUGGGGAGCUAAGCAUAUGAAAAUUAUAAUCCAACAAACAUCUGUUUCUAAACUACUGAUGCUUUAGCAUGAACUA